GGCUGCAUAGUGUAGGGGUUAUCACAUCAGAUUCUGAUUCUGGGGACCCCGGUUCUUUUCCGCAUUCAAUUA